rnacentral:tRNA from 1 species
GUUGUGGUGGCCGAGCGAUUAAGGUGAUGGACUUGAACUUCAAUGGAAUCCUCCCGUGCAGGUUGGAGUCUUGCCAGCAACG